AUGGUGACUUCCGGUUUAUUUCCGGGUUGUAACGAAGUAUAAUAACAGCGAUAAUAUGAACUAAUUAUCGUUCCAGGAAGUUAGCCAUAGCUAGGAGUUUACAGAUACACCGACUCAGAGACAUACAUCAUUAGGAUGUUAUUUCUUCAUGUUUCUGUACAGAAGCGAUAUACCGACAUGAGACAGUCGUCUUAAACCUACCGUCUGCUGAAAUUCUUUUGUCCACCACAUGUGACUCAAAGAUAUGAUUCAAAUAUGCUGAUGUUACCUACUGAGAUCAUUACUUUCAAUGAAGAACAUCACUAAAAUUGGUUGGGCUGCUAGAUUGGUAGCAACGUGAUGCAAGCUAGUGCCUGUUGAAACACUAUUGUUGUUUGGGC